rnacentral:lncRNA from 1 species
CUCGAGGAGAGGAGGGUCCCUCGUGUCCCGGGGAGCGCGGGGUCGUCCCCUCCUCCCCCCCCCUUCUCUGCCAGCCCCGAAGACCGCGGGGCACGGGCGCCCCUGUGCCAGAGCCCGGCCAGCUCCCCGACCCGGGCCAGGAGGCCGCGCAGGCCUUGAGAAGAUGACUAACUGUGAGAGUCACGGUGAAAGGAGGCUUCAUCAAGGUCUGCACCUGCAGAACAGUCAAGCCGGUUAUUGAGAGCUGAGAGAUGGCUCCAGUUUUCUUUUCACGAAAGUUUCUCUUUUCACAAGCAAGGUAGACUGGACAGUACUCCAAAAUACCUGACAUUUUUUAAGCAGCAUCUUUCUGAGAUUUUGGGAAUUUAGAAUGAAAAUCUUGGCAUCUGUGAGAGGUACUGUAGCAUGAACUGUUUUGAAGAUGCUGUUUAAUUAUUAUGAGUACUUGACCUCAACUUUCAGCCAAUAGCUGCUAAUUUUGCUCAAGCAAACAGAAUGAUCAGCUAUACAGUGGGAAGAAGUAUGGAAGAAACAGCAGUAUCCUCCAUAUUUCACAAGUCUGUUCCUGCAUUUUUUCAGUAGAACACAGCUCUUCUUCAGCCGUCCUUGACUUGAAGAGGCCUGCCUGUGGGGGUUACAGGCCAUUGAAGAGUUGUGGUUUAACAGCAAUACAGAGGGAUAAUCUGUUUUGCAUAGACAAGAGAUGUAUGCCUUCAGCUCUCUGGUGUCUUACACAGGCUUGGAAAGACAGAAAACGUCAACCCAC